CAAUAGCGUAUAUUAAAGCUGUUGCAGUUAAAAAGCUCGUAGCUGAAUCCGGGGGAGAGGCCGGGGGGUUAUUGCUGCGUGUAAAAGGGGUCAAACCCUCCAUAAGCGAUCGGCAUGUCACAACCCGCGCCACGACCCAAACAGUCGGUAGACCCAGGGUGCUCUUAACUGAGUGGUCUGCGGUGGCCGGCCAGUUUACUUUGAAAAAAUUAGAGUGCUCAGAGCAGGCCGGUAGAGCCUAGAUACUUCAGCAUGGAAUAAUGGAACAGGACUUCGGUCCUCUUCAGUUGGUCUUCGGGACGCGAGGUAAUGACCGAUAGGGACAGACGGGGGCAUUCGUAUUGUGGGGCUAGAGGUGAAAUUCUUGGACCCUCGCAAGACGAACAACCGCGAAAGCAUUUGCCAAGAAUGUUUUCAUUAGUCAAGAACGAAAGUCAGAGGUUCGAAGACGAUCAGAUACCGUCCUAGUUUUGACCUUAAACGAUGCCGACUAGAGAUCCACGGGUGUUGUACCUUGACUCCGUGGGGACCUACUCCGGGAAACCAAAGUGUUUAGGUUCCGGGGGAAGUAUG
rnacentral:rRNA from 1 species